rnacentral:tRNA from 1 species
GGAGGGGUGGCCGAGUGGCUGAAGGCAACGGUCUUGAAAACCGUCGACGGAUAACCGUUCGAGAGUUCGAAUCUCUCCUCCUCCGCCA